GGCAGUCACUGUGGCCGCAGAAUGGCAGCUCCUUUACAAUCGCUACUACCGGAAACCUGAAAUUUACCUGAUGCAAUGGAAGCACGUCGACCUCACGCGUAACAAAGUCGCCUGCGCUCCUUUCGGUGGUCCAAUCGCUGUCAUACGUGACGAUGCUAAGAUCGUCCAGCUUUACGCUGAAUCUGCCCUUCGUAAGCUUAGAAUUUUCAAUUCCGCUGGUGUUCAGAUCUCUGAAACAGUAUGGAAGAAUCCUGGCGGUCGACUUAUCGGUAUGUCAUGGACUGAUGAUCAAAUUCUAGUUUGUAUUACUCAGGAUGGUACUGUUUAUCGUUAUAACAUACAUGCCGAGCCUAUUGAACCGAAUUCUCAGCUUACGUUAGGUGCGGACUGUUUUACUCAUAGUGUAGUUGAGUGUGUUUUCUGGGGGAAUGGUGUUGUUUGUAUCAAUGAGGCGUUUCAGGUUUAUUGUAUACCUGAUUUCAAUAAUCCAAAACCUGUCAAAUUGGCGGAUACUGGUUUGGAGGAUUUUCCUUUAUGUAUGGCUGUGAUUGAACCGCAGUAU
rnacentral:misc_RNA from 1 species